rnacentral:misc_RNA from 1 species
GAUGAAGAACGUAGCGAAAUGCGAUAAGUAAUGCGAAUUGCAGAAUUCCAGUGAGUCAUCGAAUCUUUGAACGCACAUUGCGCCCUUUGGUAUUCCGAAGGGCAUGCCUGUUCGAGCGUCAUUAUCACCCCUCAAGCCCCCGGCUUGGUGUUGGACGGUUUGGUGGAGGCCCCCUCGGGGGCUCCUGCCCCUCCCAAAGACAAUGACGGCGGCCUCGUUGGACCCCCGGUACACUGAGUUCUUCACGGGACACGUAUCGGACACAUGGGUUUACGGGACACGGUCUGCCUACCCUCAGGGAGAAUCUUUCUAAGGUUGACCUCGGAUCAGGUAGGGAUACCCGCUGAACUUAAGCAUAUCAAUAAGCGGAGGA